AUUGAACGCUGGCGGCAGGCUUAACACAUGCAAGUCGAACGAGUGGCGGACGGGUGAGAAAUGCUUGGGAAUCGAGCUUAUGGAGGGGGAUAACUACGGGAAACUGUAGCAAAUACCGCGUACCAUAGGAUGAGCCCAAGUGGGCUUAGGUUGUUGGUGAGGGAAAGGCUCACAAAGCCGACGAUCUCUAGCUGGUCUGAGAGGAUGACCAGCCACAUUGGGACUGAAGCUAGGCCCAGACUCCUACGAGAGGCAAGAGUGGGGUAUAGUGCGGAAAUGGGGCAACCGUACACGGCCGUGCCGCGUGAAUGGAGAGGGCCUUCGGGUUUUAAAGGUCUUUCGGUAGCUGUGCGUUAACUAGAGAAGAAGCACCGGCUAACUCCGUGCCAGCAGCCGCGGUAAUUC
rnacentral:rRNA from 1 species